AAGACCUUGCGCUUUUGGAGCGGCCGAUGUCUGAUUAGCUUGUUGGUAAGGUAAAAGCUUACCAAGGCUUCGAUCAGUAGCUGGUCUGAGAGGACGGCCAGCCACACUGGGACUGAGACACGGCCCAGACUCCUACGGGAGGCAGCAGUGGGGAAUUUUGGGCAAUGGGGGCAACCCUGAUCCAGCCAUGCCGCGUGAGUGAAGAAGGCCUUCGGGUUGUAAAGCUCUUUCAGCCGGAACGAAACGGUUACGGUUAAUACCCGUGACUACUGACGGUACCGGAAGAAGAAGCACCGGCUAACUACGUGCCAGCAGCCGCGGUAAUACGUAGGGUGCAAGCGUUAAUCGGAAUUACUGGGCGUAAAGCGUGCGCAGGUGGUUUUGUAAGUCAGAUGUGAAAUCCCCGGGCUUAACCUGGGAACU
rnacentral:rRNA from 1 species